UACGGAGGGUGCAAGCGUUAUCCGGAUUCACUGGGUUUAAAGGGAGCGCAGGCGGAUUUGUAAGUCAGUGGUGAAAGGCUUAAGCUUAACUUGGGAACUGCCAUUGAUACUAUAAGUCUUGAAUGUUGUUGAGGUUUGCGGAAUGGGUCAUGUAGCGGUGAAAUGCAUAGAUAUGACCCGGAACACCUAUUGCGAAGGCAGCUUACUAGGCUGUAACUGACGCUGAGGCACGAAAGUGUGGGGAUCAAACAGG
rnacentral:rRNA from 1 species